rnacentral:rRNA from 1 species
GAUGAGCAUGCGUCCCAUUAGCUAGUUGGUAAGGUAACGGCUUACCAAGGCUACGAUGGGUAGGGGUCCUGAGAGGGAGAUCCCCCACACUGGUACUGAGACACGGACCAGACUCCUACGGGAGGCAGCAGUGAGGAAUAUUGGACAAUGGGCGCAAGCCUGAUCCAGCCAUGCCGCGUGCAGGAUGACGGUCCUAUGGAUUGUAAACUGCUUUUAUACGAGAAGAAACACUGCUUCGUGAAGCAGCUUGACGGUAUCGUAAGAAUAAGGAUCGGCUAACUCCGUGCCAGCAGCCGCGGUAAUACGGAGGAUCCAAGCGUUAUCCGGAAUCAUUGGGUUUAAAGGGUCCGUAGGCGGUUUAAUAAGUCAGUGGUGAAAGCCCAUCGCUCAACGGUGGAACGGCCAUUGAUACUGUUAGACUUGAAUUAUUAGGAAGUAACUAGAAUAUGUAGUGUAGCGGUGAAAUGCUUAGAGAUUACAUGGAAUACCAAUUGCGAAGGCAGGUUACUACUAAUUGAUUGACGCUGAUGGA